rfam:Schistosoma mansoni strain Puerto Rico chromosome W, complete genome
AUCCAGCUGACGAGUCUAAAGUGGGACGAAACGCUCGUCCUCGAU